CAUACGGGUUGAAGCAUGACCGUAAGGACAUGUGGACAGUAUGGGAGUGAGAAUGUUGGCAUGAGUAGCGAGAUGUGGGUGAGAAUCCCACAGGCCGUAAACCCAAGGUUUCCAGGGGAAGGUUCGUCCGCCCUGGGUUAGUCGGGACCUAAGCUGAGGCCGAAAGGCGUAGGUGAUGGACAACAGGUUGAUAUUCCUGUACUACCGAUAACCGUUUGAGAGAUGGGAUGACACAGUAGGAUAAGCUAAGCACACUGUUGGUUAUGUGUGCCCAAGCAUUGAGGCAGUCAAAGUAGGUAAAUCCGCUUUGAUAAUGCUGGGAUGUGAUGGGGAGCGAAAUUUAGUAGCGAAGUAGCUGAUUUCACACUGUCAAGAAAAGUCUCUAUCGAGGUUAAAGGUACCCGUACCGCAAACCGACACAGGUGGGUGAGGAGAGUAUCCUAAGGCCAGCGAGAGAACUGUUGUUAAG
rnacentral:rRNA from 1 species